CUGCCGCCGAUCCGGUGACCGAGGGGGUUUGCGCCGUCCUCCGGCCCCCCGGCGAGCAUACCAUACUAAUGAAUGACGGCUGCUUUCUGGGUCGCCAGCCCGCCGCGGAGAAGGGAAGACAGGCUGCAGGAUGACUUCGCUGCAUUGGCCGGCGGCUCUGAGCCUCGACUGAGUGAACAGUCCAGGUGGACCCGUCCUGUCCGUGCCCACCAGGAUGGACACACACGCACACACACACACACACGCACAUGCCCAGUGCCAUCUUUGGGGGUGGAUAUAAAUAUCUGUGUGUGUGUGUGUUGCUGAAGACGCUCGGAGCUUCAGGUCUGGUCGUCGAUAUUCAAAUCUCACCAGGAAAUUAAUUUAAACCUGUUGAAGUGUUAUUUUAAGUUUUAUCUGCAUUUCUGUGCAGUUUUAUAUUCUUGACAUUAUUAUUAUUAUUAUUGCCACCAGAGGGCAGUAAACCUCUACUGAUCAUUUCUCUCAAAGGAAGCAAAUGAAACACAAUACAGGUGAUCAUUUCCUGGGGUCAAAGGUCACCCUCCUGCAGGAUUAGCUCUAAUCCUGCCAACUAUACUUUUUGUCAGAUGUCACACAUGCUUUGUUCUAUUAUUCCAAAUCCUUCACAAGUUUCUCAAUCAAUUUGUUCCUAAUUAUUUCAUAUUAUUCUGUUUUAGCAGAAAUACUCAGUGAAAAGCACCAAAACGGCUUCAAUCGAUUUAUUAUGUUCAUGUUUGCAACGGGUCCUAAUUUAAAGUAUCACACAGACACAGAUUUCCUCAUUUUCAUAUCAAACAAUAGGCAAAUCAACUAUGUUUCCUAACAUAAUAAUAAUAAUCUGGGUCCGUGUAUGCUAUAUAUGACGGUAGGAUGAGGGUUAAGCUUGCAGCAGGAGGUAAAGGCAGAUAUAUCUUUGAGGACAUUUAAAGAAAUGCAAACUGCAGGGAUUACGCAGCUUGUUGCUCCUAAUCAGCUGUUUGAGGUCUCUUCAGUGUCGGCCGUGCAGAGGCAGGAGUCGGGGAGCGGCUGGCGGAGAGGAAGCCUAAUUGGUGCGGAGCUAAUGCGGCCUCAUUAAUCUUUUAAUCCCCAUUUCCUCUCCGCCCCCGUGGCCCCGACCUGCUGGCCGCGAACUUGUCUGGCCCCUGCAGCAAAGUCAAACGCUUCUCUGGUGCUGCCCACAAAGACUCGUCACAAACGUUUUAAAAACUUUGUGAUUGUUUCUUCUUCAAUUGAAUCUUUAUUUCCAGGUGACAUGUUGGAGGUCUUCUGCGCUACGAACAGCUGUGAGCAAAGCAUUAGUGGGUACAAGGAGCCGGAUGUGCGUCAUAUCAAAGAUAUGAAAGCCCCGCAGGACACUCACAUCUGUACCCGCUGGCUGUGUUGAUGCACUUGCCGACGGUGCAUGGGGCUGACAGACAGUUGUCCAUGUGCUCGCCGCAGAGGUCGCCCUGCGUGCCCUCAGGACACACACACAGUGGUUAAGCGACAGGUCAGGGCAUGCUGGGAAACUUAAACCUCCGCUCCUUUGAUCUGCUAAUGGAGACAAACAGGAUCACAGUUGGACGGCUACGACAGUAACAGCCACUAAAGCAGAUGAUGCACAAUAAGUUUGUACCUUGAUUCACAGACCAGGUGAACUUGGAGGUGUCGGGGUCACAGAGGAGGCAGGGGCUGCUGGGACUGGACACCCCCUCUGUGAAACACAUCCCGUCGAUGUUACAGGUCUUCUCCUGGAAACCAGAGACGGUCUGACCUGGGUCGUUGACGCUCAGAGCCAGAGGGAGUCCACACUGGUGACCGUGUUCGGUGCCGAAGCAGGGGAUGGGCACUGUGCUGUGCACGGUCACCUCGUGCUCUUUACUGUUCUCUGCUAUGUGCAGCGAGUCUGGAGAAAACUGCAGAGGAAGAGGGAACAAAGAGCCUU